UAACCUUGCGGCCGUACUCCCCAGGCGGUCGACUUCACGCGUUAGCUGCGUCACUCAGUGCAUUGCUGCUCCGAACGACUAGUCGACAUCGUUUAGGGCGUGGACUACCAGGGUAUCUAAUCCUGUUUGCUCCCCACGCUUUCGUGCAUGAGCGUCAGUACAGGCCCAGGGGGCUGCCUUCGCCAUCGGUGUUCCUCCACAUCUCUACGCAUUUCACUGCUACACGUGGAAUUCCACCCCCCUCUGCCGUACUCUAGCCUUGCAGUCACAAACGCAGUUCCCAGGUUGAGCCCGGGGAUUUCACAUCUGUCUUACAAAACCGCCUGCGCACGCUUUACGCCCAGUAAUUCCGAUUAACGCUCGCACCCUACGUAUUACCGCGGCUGCUGGCACGUAGUUAGCCGGUGCUUCUUAGUCCGGUACCGUCAUCCAUGGNCUAUGUUAGAGACCACGAUUUCUUCCCGGCCGAAAGAGCUUUACAACCCGAAGGCCUU
rnacentral:rRNA from 1 species